rnacentral:lncRNA from 1 species
AGGACACGAAAUGCAGGUAUGUGCCCUGUUGUUGUUUGCUGCACUUUUUCCCUUUUUUUUUUUGAAACCAUGCUCUAUUUCUUGUAGGUUUUCCGAGCAUCCCUGAAGAACUAAAUUUCUCCAUGAAUCCAAACUUUUUGCAAGAUUAGACUGGCGAGAAUGACGAGCGAAUUGAUGCACUUCAAGGAAUAGAUGGUAUUAAUGAUUCUCAUGACCUUCUUUGUAAAUAUCCAGGCACCAUCAAUGGAGGUAUUUUGGUGCAUAUCAUGGACAAUUUUAAUGCUGAAGAUGAAGUAAAUUCAGGGACUGUGAGAGCUAACAUUUUAGAGGUCAAUCAAGGAGUUCCUGUCGUUCCAUCUUCGUUGGCUUUAGUCAGUAUUCCGCCUUCACAAACAAAUAAUCAUCGGGCUGUACCAAUCUGUUCUUUCAUGUCUGAUCCUCCACCUAGAAUUACCCAAGAGUCUUCUUAUCUGAAGGCCGCUCUGCAAGAAGCUAUGAAUAAUUACCUCCAGAAAUGUUUUAAGGAUGUCUUAAAGUAUGGAUUCUCUAAUAUUUGAUCUUGGUGGGAUGGAAAUAAUUUAAUUCUUCAGAAUGUGAUUACCAACUUAUUCCACGUAGACCCAUCACCUUUGAUGAAACGCAUGGAUGUAUUUCUGAAAAAAAUUGACUCUUACUUAUCUGAAAGAAAGCAGCACUUGGAUUGUCCAACCGUUGAAGAAAAGGCGGAGGAGUUGAAACUUUUGAACAUUCAAUUGGAAGUAAAGGAUUCCACGUAUUCUUCGUUGAAAG